AACGAACGCUGGCGGCAUGCCUAACACAUGCAAGUCGAACGAGACCUUCGGGUCUAGUGGCGCACGGGUGCGUAACGCGUGGGAACCUGCCCUUAGGUUCGGAAUAACUCCCCGAAAGGGGUGCUAAUACCGGAUAAUGUCUUCGGACCAAAGAUUUAUCGCCUUUGGAUGGGCCCGCGUUGGAUUAGCUAGUUGGUAGGGUAAAAGCCUACCAAGGCGACGAUCCAUAGCUGGUCUGAGAGGAUGAUCAGCCACACUGGGACUGAGACACGGCCCAGACUCCUAGGGGAGGGAGCAGGGGGAAAUAUUGGACAGGGGGGAAAGGCCUGAUCAAGCAGUGCCGCGGGAGUGAUGAAGGCUUUAGGGUUGAAAAGCUUUUUUACCCGGGAUGAUAAGAACAGUGCGGGAAGAAUAGGCCCCGGCUAACUCCGUG
rnacentral:rRNA from 1 species